GCGGGUGUGGUGUAGCGGUAGCACACGACCCUUCCAAGGUCUUAGCACGGGUUCGAGCCCCGUCACCCGCU
rnacentral:tRNA from 1 species